rnacentral:ribozyme from 1 species
AACGGCCUAAUGGCCAUAGCAGAAACACUUACUUUGUGGCCCUGUCAGAGUCUAAUGAAUCUGUGAAUUCUGUU